ACUGCCGGUGACAAACCGGAGGAAGGUGGGGAUGACGUCAAGUCCUCAUGGCCCUUAUAGGUGGGGCUACACACGUCAUACAAUGGCUGGUACAAAGGGUUGCCAACCCGCGAGGGGGAGCCAAUCCCAUAAAGCCAGUCGUAGUCCGGAUCGCAGUCUGCAACUCGACUGCGUGAAGUCGGAAUCGCUAGUAAUCGUGGAUCAGCAUGUCACGGUGAAUACGUUCCCGGGUCUU
rnacentral:rRNA from 1 species